AGAGUGAACGCUGGCGGCAGGCCUAAUACAUGCAAGUCGAACGGCAGCACGGCAGAGCUUGCUCUGUGGGUGGCGAGUGGCGGACGGGUGAGGAAUACAUGGGAAUCUGCCCAGUCGUGGGGGAUAACGUAGGGAAACUUACGCUAAUACCGCAUGCGCCCUUCGGGGGAAAGCCGGGGACCUUCGGGCCUGGCGCGAUUGGAUGAGCCCAUGUCGGAUUAGCUAGUUGGCGGGGUAACGGCCCACCAAGGCGACGAUCCGUAGCUGGUCUGAGAGGAUGAUCAGCCACACUGGAACUGAGACACGGUCCAGACUCCGUACGGGAGCAGCAGUAGGGAAUAUUGGACAAGUGGGCGCAAGCCUGAUCCAGCCAUGCCGCGUGAGUGAAG
rnacentral:rRNA from 1 species